UGGGGCUUCUAAACGGGCCAUGUUUUUCUGCAAUUGAUGGCUGCACUAUUGGCAAUUAAUUGUCCGGCCAUCACAAAAAUGUUUUAAUGCAGAUGAUGGCCGAGCAAUCUAUGGCCGGGCCAUGUGUUGCAAUAUGUCAGCAAUAGUAUGGCCCAUGAUGCAGACUCCUAAACGGGCCACACAUACCGGCAACAAUGGCUGAUGAAAUCACACUUGUCGCAGCAGCUUAUAUUAAUUUUAAAAGAACAGAAAAAGAAGAGAUUGAGGAUUCGACCUUAUUUAAAUAGGCGUGAAACUGUAGACAAUUUGAGUCUAGCAGUAAUAAGCCUUGAUAAUAAAUUAUUCAAGAACUUGGCUAGAAUUUCAAAAGGCGACUUUGACUUUCUCUUAAACAAAAUUGGACCAAAAAUAAAAAGAAAUGAUACAAACAUGAGAACAGCAAUACCUGUUUCAUCGCCAUCACGAGAUUUGCGAUAACUCUACAGUUUUUGGCAACAGGAGAUUCAUUUAAAAGUUUUAUGUACCUGUUCCGAGUGUUAGAUUUCAACUUUUAUACAAGAGGUGUGUACAGCUAUUAUAGAAGGAUUAAAAUAAUACAUCAAGAUGCCGUCAGGAGUAACAGAAUGGAAACAAGUUGCAAAAGAUUUCGAGGAAAGAAGUCCAAUUUAUCAAUCGAUAUGAUACAUACGUAAUACAGAGAUAUGUACAUUUAUAAUGACUAAAAUAUUUUAUUAAAGAUACUUACGUUAGAAGUUUUCAUUUUCACUAUGUAAUCCUAUAUUCGUGGUAUUUUGAGUAAAUAGAAACGAUAUCGCAUCUUAAGCAAACCACUUUACUGUUUUACCGCCAGCACUACCACUUUUCUUCUUUUUCUCCUCAUUAUUUGCGUAAGUUCUUAGGCUUCUGAAUUUUUUGUAAGCCUCGUUACUUGUUAUGCCAAACUUUUCAGCGAUUUCAUUCCAUGCAUCUUUUUUAGAAUUUCUAUCUUUGUAUGAGCCGGUUUUUAUAUUCCACAACUCGGGGUGCAAAUGUAUUUCUUCAAUAAAAUCAGUAAUUGUCUUGUUAGACCAGUAACCAUUUUUACGUAGUUGUCAAAAUGCAGCUGAUCGCAAAACACAGAAUAUAGCAACAGGCACACUUCACUCAUAGCAAACUUCAUGUCGCGUAGAAAAGGAUACACUAUGCCAUAACAAACAGAGUGACUGAAACAACAAUAGAACUGGCUGUGCAAUAUUGCAGUUGAAUUCGAUAGCCUAGCGAUCGUUCGGCAACCCAUCGGGGCCAUAUCGGCCAUAAGUGGCUACACAAAACAUGUUUGGCUAUAUGGCCGGGACAUUACUGCAACAUUGCAUAGUGUGGCUGACAUUGUUUGCAAUGUUGCCGGGCCAUGUGUUGCAGCCAUCAAUUGCA